UGGGGAAUUUUUCGCAAUGGGCGAAAGCCUGACGAAGCAACGCCGCGUGGAGGAUGAAGGCCCUCGUGGUCGUAAACUCCUGUCUAGCGGGACGAAAGUAUUGGAGGUGAAUAAUCUCCGAUAUUGACUGUACCGCUGGAGGAAGCUCCGGCCAACUCCGUGCCAGCAGCCGCGGUAAUACGGAGGGAGCAAGCGUUACUCGGAAUUAUUGGGCGUAAAGGGCGCGUAGGCGAUCUGACAAGUCUGGUGUGAAAGCCCACAUGUUAACUGUGGAAGUGCAUUAGAAACUGUUGGAUUUGAGUUCAGGAGAGGAAGGCAGAAUUCCCGGUGUAGCGGUGAAAUGCGUAGAGAUCGGGAGGAAUACCAGUGGCGAAGGCGGCCUUCUGGACUGACACUGACGCUGAGGCGCGAAAGCCAGGGGAGCAAACGGG
rnacentral:rRNA from 1 species